AGAGAGACAAAUUCUAAAUUUUCGUGUCUAACGUUUGAUUGGUUGUCUUAUAUGAAUUUUUUUAAUUAGUAUUUUUUAUUGUUGUUAGAUGAUAAAAUAUGAUUAAUACUUUAUGCGUAGCUUGUCUUUUUUAUUUUUUUAUAUUUUUUUUAAAUAAAACAGGUGGUCAAACGUUGGACACGGAAACUUAGG
rnacentral:pre_miRNA from 1 species